GAUGAACGCUGGCGGCGUGCCUAAUACAUGCAAGUCGAGCGAACAGACGAGGAGCUUGCUCCUCUGACGUUAGCGGCGGACGGGUGAGUAACACGUGGAUAACCUACCUAUAAGACUGGGAUAACUUCGGGAAACCGGAGCUAAUACCGGAUAAUAUAUUGAACCGCAUGGUUCAAUAGUGAAAGACGGUUUUGCUGUCACUUAUAGAUGGAUCCGCGCCGCAUUAGCUAGUUGGUAAGGUAACGGCUUACCAAGGCGACGAUGCGUAGCCGACCUGAGAGGGGGAUCGGCCACACUGGAACUGAGACACGGUCCAGACUCCUACGGGAGGCAGCAGUAGGGAAUCUUCCGCAAUGGGCGAAAGCCUGACGGAGCAACGCCGCGUGGGUGAUGAAGGUCUUCGGAUCGUAAAACCCUUUUAUUAGGGAAGAACAAAAGUUGAAGUAACUAUGCACGUCUUGACGGUACCUAAUCAGAAAGCCACGGCUAACUACGUG
rnacentral:rRNA from 1 species